UACAGAGGUCCCAAGCGUUGUUCGGAUUCACUGGGCGUAAAGGGUGCGUAGGUGGUCGGGUAAGUCUGGUGUGAAAUCUCCGAGCUUAACUCGGAAAUGGCAUUGGAUACUAUCCGGCUGGAGGGUCGGAGGGGGGACUGGAAUUCUUGGUGUAGCAGUGAAAUGCGUAGAUAUCAAGAGGAACACCAGUGGCGAAGGCGAGUCCCUGGACGACUCCUGACACUGAGGCACGAAAGCUAGGGGAGCAAACAGG
rnacentral:rRNA from 1 species